rnacentral:rRNA from 1 species
UACGAAGGGGGCUAGCGUUGCUCGGAAUCACUGGGCGUAAAGGGCUCGUAGGCGGCCAACUAAGUCAGACGUGAAAUCCCUCAGCUUAACUGGGGAACUGCGUCUGAUACUGGAUGGCUUGGAUUCGGGAGAGGAAUGCGGAAUUCCAGGUGUAGCGGUGAAAUGCGCAGAUAUCAGGAGGAACGACCGGUGGCGAAGGCGGGUCUCUGGGCCGAUACUGACGCUGAGGAGCGAAAGCGUGGG